UUUUUUAUUUCUAGUAAAAAUACUAUUGAACCAGUAAAAGAUGCCAGCAGUAUGAAUACUAGCAGUAUGCUGGCUCAGAGUGAUGAUGAUACAAAGAGUGAAGAAACAUCCACUGACCGAGCCACUGAUGCUGUUUCACAAGGUGAUACAAAUGGCAGCAAAGAAGAAAAACCAUGAAAAAAGCUAAAGCUGGAAGGAGAAGACGGACCAACCCAGAGGUGCCGUUUGCUGCUGCUUUAGAGAAGAUUGUUAAUAAACUGAGUGCUGUUCAAGAGUAUUGGCCUUUUUGUAAGCCAGUUUCCUCAAAAGAUGUGCCUGACUAUUAUAAUUUGAUAAAGUUUCCAAUGGAUCUUCAGACCAUGAAAGAUGUAAA